rnacentral:rRNA from 1 species
AGCGAACGCUGGCGGCAGGCUUAACACAUGCAAGUCGAGCGGGCAUCUUCGGAUGUCAGCGGCAGACGGGUGAGUAACACGUGGGAACGUACCCUUCGGUUCGGAACAACUCUGGGAAACUGGAGCUAAUACCGGAUACGCCCUUAUGGGGAAAGGUUUACUGCCGAAGGAUCGGCCCGCGUCUGAUUAGCUAGUUGGUGGGGUAACGGCCUACCAAGGCGACGAUCAGUAGCUGGUCUGAGAGGAUGAUCAGCCACACUGGGACUGAGACACGGCCCAGACUCCUACGGGAGGCAGCAAGGGGGAAUAUUGGACAAUGGGCGCAAGCCUGAUCCAGCCAUGCCGCGUGAGUGAUGAAGGCCUUAGGGUUGUAAAGCUCUUUUGUCCGGGACGAUAAUGACGGUACCGGAAGAAUAAGCCCCGGCUAACUUCGUG